rnacentral:lncRNA from 1 species
AGCAGUCUUGUAUAUGUAACUGGGUUGUUUAGCCUCAUCGAUGGUGUUGUAGGUGUAACUUGGUUGUUCUGUCUCGUUGGCGGUCUUGUAGAUGUAAUUGGGUUGUUUGGCCUCAUCGGCGGUCUUGUAGAUGUAACUGGGUUGUUUGGCCUCAUCAGCGGUCUUGUAGAUGUAACUGGGUUGUUUGGGCUCAUCGAUGGUCUUGUAGGUGUAACUUGGUUGUUCUAUCUCGUUAGCGGUCUUGUAGAUGUAACUGGGUUGUUUGGCCUCAUCGGNNN